UGUGAAUAUCCAUUUGUACCGUAGACAGUAGGGGUGCCUAGCACUUAAAUCUCCCUACCGAGGACACAGAAAUCGGAUUCUUUUAAGAUGAUGAAUUUUCCGCCUCUAGUCUACUUAAGUAUGGCUAGAGGCUUUCUUUUGUCGGUA
rfam:Lysinibacillus sinduriensis BLB-1 = JCM 15800 contig6, whole genome shotgun sequence.